CCUGAACGCUGGCGGCGUGGCUAAGACAUGCAAGUCGCACGGUGUAGCAAUACACAGUGGCGAACGGGUGAGUAAUGAAUCGCUAAUGUACCCUGGACUCUGGGAUAGCUGGCCGAAAGGCCAGGUAAUACCAGAUGAGACCACGAACAGGCAUCUGUUUGUGCUCAAAGGUCCGCCGGUCUGGGAGCAGGCGAUUUCGUAUCAGCUAGUUGGUGAGGUAACGGCUCACCAAGGCGACGACGCGUAGCCGGACUGAGAGGUUGGUCGGCCACAUCGGGACUGAGACACUGCCCGGACUCC
rnacentral:rRNA from 1 species